CGUGCACCGGUGGGGUCCCUCUGCCUGGCCUGCACCCUUUUGAAAUCUGGGACCACUCAGGGGAUGUCAGAGAGCCGGUUUUGGCCCAAUCCCCGCAGGCCAGGCCGAGGGACCCCACCGGUGCACG
rnacentral:pre_miRNA from 1 species